GGCAGGUCUCUGCUGCCCUGCUAAGCACCACCAGGUGAUUCUGGCACCCAGUGAAGUUUGAGAACAACUGGAUUAGCAUUCUCGACGCUCCAGUCAGUCACAUGAGGAGCCCACCUGGGUAAUUACAGGGUGAGAUGAGGAAGAGGGAAUGGACUUAGCUGUGUGCUUGGCUUCUCACUAGCUGCCACCUUCCCUCCUCUUGUUCUGACUAGCCUGUGCCUUGAAAUGUCUGCAGAGCUGAUUCUGC
rnacentral:lncRNA from 1 species